CAGAGAGCCAGGAAGAGCCACCGAGCAGGCCAGGCUGUGAGGAGGGGAGCAGGGCCUCCAGCCCAGUUUCCUUCCUGAUGCUGAACACUCAGGUCCUGUCCAGUGCUGAGCUCAGCCUCCUCUUCACUGGAAGCUGGGACACAGGCAGUCUUCCUGGUUGUUGGUCUAGGCUGGAUGGAGGGCCCAGCCAAGUUUCUCUCCCCUACUCACUUUGUAAAGGAGGAGGGAGAUACCCCAGCAACCCUGGGCAGGGGCUCUGCUAUUGUUCUCUGUGCCUUAGAGAGCUCAGGCCUGUGUGUGCCUGUCCCCUCCCAGGAGAUGGACUCAGAUGGCCACAGCAUGGGGGAGUGCGUGUGCACAAGCAGCCCUGUGUUGCCGUGGACACAGCCCCAGGCCUGUGUGAUUAAUGGUUCCCUGCCAGGGGGAGGAGGGAGGUCUUGUCAGCCCAGGGGACCACCCAGCCACUUGGAGGCCACUGGGAGCCAUGGAUCCCAGGGAUCCCAGGGAAGCCUGGUGUCUGCGGUCCUGCAAAGGCCCAGGACUGGGUUAAUGUUGGUUUCCACCUGGGUUGAAAGGAACUGGCCUUCAGGGUGUUCAGGUGCCAGCAGGCCUGGCCUGAUAGGUGGUCUGCACACGAGUCCCUGCGGGCAUGUCCACUGGACAGAUGAAGGCUCUUUGUGUGGCUGAAUACAAGCGUUUCUCCAUCAGGGUACUACUACGACCUCGAUGACUCUUACGAUGAGAGCGAUGAGGAGGAGGUCAGGGCCCACCUCCGUUGCGUGGCCGAGCAGCCGCCCCUCAAACUGGACACGUCCUCUGAGGUACUGGGCUCUCCUCCCCAUGGACAUGCUCUGGGCUGGGCUCUCGUUCCUAGCGUCCACACCCCGCAGUCCACCCCACUGUUGCUAGGUUCCUCCGAAGUCCUGGCGGGUUCGCCCCACAAAGCUCUUCUGCCGCCAGGCACAGCCAGCUACGGCACACGCUUCGAGGACCCCAGGAGGGGACCCUGGGACAGUGAAAGCAUACCACUGCCAGUGGCUUCAAACUCAUUUGUUUUCUUUCCCAAUCUAGAAGCUAGAGUUUUUGCAACUUUUUGGCUUGACCACCCAACAGCAGAAGGAGGAAUUGGUGGCCCAGAAGCGGAGGAAGCGGCGGCGGAUGUUGCGAGAGAGAAGCCCAUCGCCCCCAACAAUUCAGAGCAAGCGGCAGACGCCUUCACCGAGACUGGCGCUGUCUACCCGCUACAGCCCCGACGAGAUGAACAACAGUCCCAACUUCGAAGAAAAGAAGAAGUUCCUGACCAUCUUCAACCUGACCCACAUCAGCGCCGAGAAGAGGAAAGAACCAGCCACACAGCAAGCCUCUCUGGAUGUGGAGAAGCCGGUUGGUGUUGCUGCUUCUUUGUCUGACAUCCCAAAGGCCGCAGAGCCUGGGAAGCUGGAACAGGUCCGGCCCCAGGAGCUGUCGAGAGUCCAGGAGCUAGCUCCUGCCAGCGGGGAGAAGGCCAGGCUGAGCGAGGCCCCUGGAGGCAAAAAGAGCCUGAGCAUGCUUCACUACAUCCGGGGCGCUGCACCCAAGGACAUUCCUGUGCCGCUGUCCCACAGCACCAAUGGGAAAAGCAAGCCAUGGGAGCCCUUUGUGGCAGAAGAGUUUGCACAUCAGUUCCACGAGUCAGUGCUGCAGUCCACCCAGAAGGCCCUGCAGAAGCAUAAAGGGAGCGUGGCUGUGCUGUCCGCAGAACAGAACCACAAGGUUGACACGUCCGUCCACUACAACAUUCCUGAGCUGCAGUCCUCCAGCCGCGCCCCUCCACCCCAGCACAAUGGGCAGCAGGAGCCCCCCACUGCAAGGAAGGGCCCCCCAACCCAGGAGAUGGACCGGGACUCGGAGGAGGAGGAAGAGGAGGAGGAUGAAGAUGGAGAAGAUGAGGAGGAAGCCCCCAGGCGCAAGUGGCAAGGGAUCGAGGCCGUUUUUGAAGCUUACCAGGAACACAUAGAAGAGCAAAAUCUGGAGCGGCAGGUGUUACAGACACAAUGCAGACGACUGGAGGCCCGGCACUACAGCCUCAGCCUGACGGCAGAGCAGCUCUCCCACAGCGUGGCGGAGUUGAGGAGCCAGAAACAGAAGAUGGUCUCAGAACGGGAACGGCUCCAGGCAGAACUGGACCACUUACGAAAGUGCCUUGCCUUGCCUGCAAUGCACUGGCCUAGGGGCUACCUGAAGGGAUACCCCAGGUGACGGUUUCCCUUGCACUAGGCCGAACCUAUAGUAUAGAAAUAUUAUCUAUUUUAUUACCUUGAAUAUUUAAUAUUUUUCACUGGGAGGUUUGAAGCUUACAAAAUGAGAAUGUGCCAUGCAUGAAGCAAAGGAUUCCAGGCUCCAGAAAAAAAGAACUCACUCACCUUGACGUCAAUGCAAUUGAAUCACCAUUGUCAUUCAGCGAGCAACCGAUGUAGGAUUGCCCAUAGUUUUUCUUUUUAAAGGUGGUUUUAGCCCUUCCUCUCCCACAUUAUUUCUUAAUCUGAACAUGAAGGCUGCAUUAGCAACACUAAAACUUGAUCAUUCACAGCCCGCUGUGCAUAUGAGUGGAUCAAACCGGUUCUGUUCUUUCUUGUGUUGCCGUGUCACUAUGCCUCAAGCCCAGUUUGCUUUUGCCGCAGUGAUGGGGCCAGUCUCAUUCCUCCCCAGGAGUGAAACUUGCUUCAGCUGAAAAGGUUGGGUGCAUUAUAAGUAAAAAGGGCUUAUUUGUUUCAUUUACUUUCCUGCAAAAUUUUCUUCAAAGCAACAAGUCCUAGGAGCACACAAAGCAACCCAAAGGCUUUUCCCUGGAAAAGCUCUUACCUAAAGAUAAAACCAAUUCACAAACUGAAGGUACCUUUUUAUUACUCCGUGGGGAGCAUGUACAGAGCUCUGUGUAUACACAGCUUCACACCCACCACAUUGUUACUACAGUGGGUGGGGUUUUCAUACAGACGUAAAUUUUGAGAGAAAAGUCAAAGGUGCUUCAGCCUUGUACUGUGUAUAUAUAUUAAAAAAAAAAAAAGUUUUGUAUGUUUUUAUUACUUUAACUAUUGUUAUAAAAAGCCUGCCAUUUUUAAUAUGUGGUUUGGGGGAUUUUUGUUUGUUUUUCCUGUUUGGGGGUUUUGUUUGUUGUUUUGGUUUUUUUGGGCAAAAAAAAAAAAACCUUGCUUUUAGUGUUUGUACUGCUGCUGGUCAGGACAUUAAAAUAUUGAAGUGUUUUUAAAAAUUAAAGAAGAAGAAAAGUAAAAGAGCUUACCACUGGCGCCUAUGCGAUCACUUCAUUUUUAGUUUGAGUUGCACCAGAAGCUGCCGUAAGCCAUGCGCUACUGCUUACCUCCUCCACUCCCCCUCCCCGCCCCCAGCAUCUGGACAAGCUAAUAGCAAAUAUUACCCAUUGCUAUCAAGGGAGGAGGGGGUAGUCUAUAGAACCUAUGUGUGACAGUCAUGUGCACACAUGGGUGGGGACUUUCAAAAACCUUUCAGGAAGUAAAUGAUUUCUGUGAUAGAAUUCUAAGGUGUCUGAGAGCAGGUACAGAAUAGGAACUUCAGAGGCUUUAUUUAAAUGCAAAGCUUUGUAAAAGCCACAAGGUCUGAGCUGAACCCCUCCUUUUUGAACUUACUGUGACAAGCACAGGAACGGUCAGAAACUGGGCUCAUCACACCAAGGCAAAGCAAUGGGCGAGUCUUCCUCCUUGUCCUAGUUACUGCUUAUGGAGGCAGUGUUUGUUUAGAUCAAGAAGGCCUCUCUUGCUCCCAAAGGCCCUCACCAGAGGCCAGGGCUGCCAGUCACUGGUCUGGGGGGUGGAGGCCUGAGCUGAGGGCAGGGUGCCUGACCUGUGUGCCGGCUGCUCACUGCUGUGACCAGCGGCCGAGCCCUUGGCCCUAGCCCGUGCUGCGCAGAACAGCUUGCUGGCAGCCGGCAUCGUGUCGCUUUAUCUGCCCCCACACAGUUUGCUUUGUACGUCUGCCAAGAAUCUUCCGGUUAUUAGCAAACUCAGACAAAUGUGCCGCCAGUAUUGUCAGCAGUCAGCAAGCGCCUUCCUCUCCACAGAAGCCGCUGGAAGAGAGCUCGAGGGCUGUGCUGCAGGCCUCCCCUCGACAGACACUGGGAGGUCAGCAUGUUCCACAGGUGUUCAGAGGGAGUCUGCUACAACCUAUCAGGGCAAAAUCUCACUGGAUUUCUCCACUGAAAACCUACUUGAGGUUUUUGGUCUGAAGGCUUAAAAGAGUCACAUCUUAGUACUUCAGCUCUCAGGCCGCCUCCUCCAUCACAGAUGUCUGGAUGCUUUUGGUAACGGCCUUGGCUAAAGUAAAAGGGAAAAGUAGAUCCGAUAACUUUUAAAAACAUAGCUCAUCCCUUACCAUCCAAGGGGGCGCUCCCUUGGUUGGAUUUUCUGUGACAGCACAGGGGACAGGUGGCACACCAUGAGAGGUCUGCCCAGGGUGGGAGCAGUGUCCCUGUGCUAGCAAUAGUUGGCUUCUUCCCUGCCAGUGGAAACCCCACUUCUGCCCGGCCCUUGAGCUUCUUGCCCACUGUCUCCCCAUCCUUCCACCUACUUGUGGCGAUCUGAGUAUUCUUGCUCAAGAAGUAAUACGACAAUCAGAAUACAAACCAGUAAGGCAACACGAAUAAACUAAGAAAAAGGUAAGAACUGUCUCUCAAAAACGAAAGCACACCACCCAAGACACAGUACCCAGUCAUGGUUUUCCCAUCCAACUAUUAGUUUCAUACUUUGAAAACUUACUUUCAGAUUAUUCUCAAAGAACACAGUAGCACCUAAAUCUGUUUUCAAUUGGGCUUAAAAAUUGACAUGCAAUCUCUUAAGUUUUUUGUUCAGCUACUUCACAUUGAAUACAUCAAAUCUGCUCUGGAGUCGAUUAUAUGCCACCUGUGUGUCAGGAUGUACGUGAAAGCCCUCGGCUCGGUCCUUGGACCAUCUUCCUACAUUACCUGGAAGGGAGCUGCCAUCUGUCCCUCUGCAGAGGGAUACCUUCCAAUAGUAAAUUAUCUGGUUCUUCAUCGAAACAAGUUAUUUUUGUUUCAUACAGUCAGAGCCAGACUGACAUGAUAAAAUAUCAUGUUCCUAAUCCAUUGUCUCAGAGAAGUGACCAAGACGGGAUUUUUCCACAUUUUAGUCUAUAUUCUAAUCUUAAAGGAAUAAAGCACUGAAUUGGGAAUAACAUUUGAUAGGUUGCACCCUUAAGAGUAUUCAGAGAGCAUCAAAAGGAGCCCACACCUUCAGCAGCGAAGGAUUCUAACAGGGAAUCUGCAGUUUGUAGCAGAACGGUAUUUUCCUCAAGUAGCUCAUAAUACUGCCAAAUCUCAAAAAUUAAGCUGAAUUUCAAUUACUACCCCUUUCCCUGAGCCACGUGUUUCACACAAGUGUAGAAAAUUCCAGGGAUCCACCACAAGAUGGAGAUGGUCAGCACAAACCGAUUCUGUUCCUCUUUAAAGUGUAUAUUAGCCACUUAGCAAUCUCUAUAUUCUUUCAAGUAACCAAGCUGUUGACUUUCUUACUACUUGGAGUAGCCUGUCCCCAACUUUUCGAUCCAGUGCUUAACCUAAAAAACUCCUUAACUCUGCCUUGACCUGAGGAAGACCAUGCUAAUUGGUGUUAUUUUGUAUGUACCCUGUGCUUAAUUCUAGAACAGUAAACCCAUACACAGGUGGGAGGGAGGAACACCAGUGCCUCGGUCACUCUGGGGGCAGUUUAGAUGCUGUGAAAUUAAACCUGUUCUAAGUGUACUUGUUUGAAUUAAUUGUAUUGUAAUAUUAUUUGUUGAAUGUAGUAAUUAGGUAUUUAUGAAUAUAUUGCUGUAAUUUCUGACAACAUCCAAAAAAUAAAAUCUUCCUAAAUCAUGUU
rnacentral:sRNA from 1 species